rnacentral:rRNA from 1 species
CCUACGGGCGGCAGCAGUGAGGAAUAUUGGUCAAUGGGCGCGAGCCUGAACCAGCCAAGUAGCGUGAAGGAUGACUGCCCUACGGGUUGUAAACUUCUUUUAUAAAGGAAUAAAGUGAGGCACGUGUGCCUUUUUGUAUGUACUUUAUGAAUAAGGAUCGGCUAACUCCGUGCCCGCAGCCGCGGUAAUACGGAGGAUACGAGCGUUAUCCGGUUUUAUUGGGUGUAAAGGGAGCGUAGAUGGGUGGUUAAGUCAGUUGUGAACGUUUGCGGCUCAACCGUAAAAUUGCAAUUGAUACUGGCAGCCUUGAGUACAGGUGAGGUAGGCGGAAUUCGUGGUGUAGCGGUGAAAUGCGUAGAUAUCACGAAGAACUCCGAUGGCGAAGGCAGCCUACUAAACUGCCACUGACAUUGAGGCUCGAAAGUGUGGGUAUCAAACAGGAUUAGAUACCCGUGUAGUC